rnacentral:lncRNA from 1 species
CGGUGGGGCCGUGUUUCGGGAGGGUGAGCGGGCCGCGGGUGGGUUGUCAGAGUGUGUUUGAAAGACGAAGCGCAUCAGCAUUAUUGAAGUUCAGACUGAUCUUCAAGUUGAUGGUUCAUAACUUGCAUUGCGGUCCCCCUGGGGAUGACGUCAGGAGUAGGCCCUGGGCGUCUGCCCGUCACCUGAGGGGGACUCUGCUCCGGCCAACCCCACCUCUGAAGGAAAAGGCUAAAAUCAAGACUCCUGUUUAAGCAGGUACCUGUCACCUCAGUAUCUAAAUCCCAAAGGAACAACUUAAGCAACUGAGGGGAAGCUGGAACUGGGGGCAGAUUUCAGUGGAAGCUACUCAUCUAACCUGCUGAGGUGUCUGAAACACUUUCACCGAGGUAUAUAUAUGUCAAAAUUUAUAAAUCUGAUCUUCAAAAUGGUCUUGGGAAGUGUUAUGCAUGGGCAAGCUCUGCUACAGUUGAAACGCAGGGCUAUGCCUGCGGUUCUCAGAAGCAGCGAGCUGCAGCACAGAGAAGGGGGCUGUCUGUGUGAAAAGGGUGAAAAGACACGGGCCUUGGAGUGCAGACCUGUCUGAAUUAACUUAACGGGCAGAAGAGGGACUCCUGAAGCCACUGAAGGAAGGAAAUCAUUACAGGGUUCUACAGAAGUAGGUCAUGUGCUACAGCUGCUCAUAGUUUAAGAGGAAGAAACAUGGGACCUCAAACAUGGAACAUGACUCCUUCAAAAUGCUUGAGAGCAACCCAAGAAAAACAUCCUCAGAGGCUUAUUUAAUAAACAUUAUCUAUAAUAGUC